rnacentral:rRNA from 1 species
AAUCAACGCUGGCGGCGUGCCUCAGACAUGCAAGUCGAACGAUUAAAGCUCUCUUCGGAGAGUGUAUAGAGUGGCGCACGGGUGAGUAACACGUAAGUAAUCUACCUUUGAGUGGGGAAUAACCCGGGGAACCCGAGCUAAUACCGCAUAAUGCAGCGGCACCGCAAGGUGACAGUUGUUAAAGGAGCAAUCCGCUUAAAGAGGAGCUUGCGGCAGAUUAGCUAGNGGUAAGGUAAUGGCUUACCAAGGCUUCGAUCUGUAUCCGGCCUGAGAGGGCGGUCGGACACACUGACACUGAAUAACGGGUCAGACUCCUACGGGAGGCGGCAGUCGGGAAUUUUGGCAAUGGGCGAAAGCCUGACCCAGCAACGCCGCGUGAAGGAUGAAGUAUUUCGGUAUGUAAACUUCGAAAGAAUAGGGAAGAAUCAAUGACGGUACCAUUUAUAAGGUCCGGCUAACUACGUGCCAGCCGCCGCAGU